CUAACACAUGCAAGUCGAACGAGAGAGAGGAAGCUUGCUUCCUCAAUCGAGUGGCGAACGGGUGAGUAACGCGUGAGGAACCUGCCUCAAAGAGGGGGACAACAGUUGGAAACGACUGCUAAUACCGCAUAAGCCCACAGCUCGGCAUCGAGCAGAGGGAAAAGGAGCAAUCCGCUUUGAGAUGGCCUCGCGUCCGAUUAGCUAGUUGGUGAGGUAACGGCCCACCAAGGCGACGAUUGGUAGCCGGACUGAGAGGUUGAACGGCCACAUUGGGACUGAGACACGGCCCAGACUCCUACGGGAGGCAGCAGUGGGGGAUAUUGCACAAUGGGGGAAACCCUGAUGCAGCGACGCCGCGUGGAGGAAGAAGGUUUUCGGAUUGUAAACUCCUGUCGUUAGGGACGAUAAUGACGGUACCUAACAAGAAAGCACCGGCUAACUACGUGCCAGCAGCCGCGGUAAAACGUAGGGUGCAAGCGUUGUCCGGAAUUACUGGGUGUAAAGGGAGCGCAGGCGGGAAGACAAGUUGGAAGUGAAAACCAUGGGCUCAACCCAUGAAUUGCUUUCAAAACUGUUUUUCUUGAGUAGUGCAGAGGUAGAUGGAAUUCCCGGUGUAGCGGUGGAAUGCGUAGAUAUCGGGAGGACACCAGUGGCGAAGGCGGUCUACUGGGCACCAA
rnacentral:rRNA from 1 species